GUGAAAGUUUCCAAGGGCGCAUGGUGGAUGCCUUGGCAACAGGAGCCGAAGAAGGACGUGGGAAUCUGCGAUAAGCCUGGUGGAGUCGAUAACCGGACGUUGAGACCAGGAUUUCCGAAUGGGGAAACCCCGCACGACGUGUCGUGUGACCCCCGGUUGAACACAUAGACCGGGUGGAGGGAACGUGGGGAAGUGAAACAUCUCAGUACCCACAGGAAGAGAAAACAAAAGUGAUUCCGUUAGUAGUGGCGAGCGAACGCGGAUGGGGCUAAACCGUAUGUGUGUGAUACCCGGCAGGGGUUGCAUGUGCGGUGUUGUGGGCCCCUCCUUGUCAUGUCUGCCGGCAUGGCGCAGUGAGGUGCGGGCAUAUAGACGAACCAGUGUGGAUGCUGGACCGUAGAGGGUGAGAGUCCCGUAGUCGAAAUGUGUUCCGCCGCUGUUGGAGGGUUGCCCGAGUAGCACGGGGCCCGAGGAAUCCCGUGUGAAUCUGCCAGGACCACCUGGUAAGCCUGAAUACUACCUGUUGACCGAUAGCGGAUCAGUACCGUGAGGGAAUGGUGAAAAGUACCCCGGGAGGGGAGUGAAAUAGUACCUGAAACCAUGUGCCUACAAACCGUUGGAGCCUCCUUGUGGGGUGACAGCGUGCCUUUUGAAGAAUGAGCCUGCGAGUUAGUGAUACGUGGCGAGGUUAACCCGUGUGGGGAAGCCGUAGCGAAAGCGAGUCUGAAUAGGGCGAUUGAGUCGCGUGUCCUAGACCCGAAGCGGAGUGAUCUACCCAUGGCCAGGUUGAAGCGCGUGUAAGAGCGCGUGGAGGACCGAACCCACUUCAGUUGAAAAUGGAGGGGAUGAGCUGUGGGUAGGGGUGAAAGGCCAAUCAAACUCCGUGAUAGCUGGUUCUCCCCGAAAUGCAUUUAGGUGCAGCGUCACGUGUUUCUUCCCGGAGGUAGAGCUACUGGAUGGACGAUGGGCCCUACAAGGUUACUGACUUCAGCCAAACUCCGAAUGCCGGGAAGUGAGAGCGUGGCAGUGAGACUGUGGGGGAUAAGCUUCAUAGUCGAGAGGGAAACAGCCCAGACCACCGGUUAAGGCCCCUAAGCGUGUGCUAAGUGGGAAAGGAUGUGGAGUUGCUGAGACAACCAGGAGGUUGGCUUAGAAGCAGCCACCCUUGAAAGAGUGCGUAAUAGCUCACUGGUCAAGUGAUUCCGCGCCGACAAUGUAGCGGGGCUCAAGUACACCGCCGAAACCGUGGCAUUCAGUUUUGCUGGAUGGGUAGGGGAGCGUCGUUCACGAGGUGAAGCCAGCGGGUAACUUCUGGUGGAUUGUGGACGAGUGAGAAUGCAGGCAUGAGUAGCGAAAGACGGGUGAGAAACCCGUCCGCCGGAUGACUAAGGGUUCCAGGGUCAAGCUAAUCUGCCCUGGGUAAGUCGGGACCUAAGGCGAGGCCGACAGGCGUAGUCGAUGGACAACGGGUUGAUAUUCCCGUACCAGUGAAGAACCGUCCAUGUUGAGCCGGUGAUACUAACCGCCCGAACCAUCCCGAACCUCGUCUUUGACGGGGUCGGUGAUGGGGAGCGCGGGACCUGAACCGGGGAGGCAAGCGCAUUAACAGGUGUGACGCAGGAAGGUAGCCGGGCCGGGCAAUGGAAAUGACCUGGUCUAAGGGUGUAGGGCUGCCGGUAGGUAAAUCCGCCGGCUGUAUGCCUGAGACCUGAUGGGCGCCCACAUGGUGGGUGAUCCGGUGAUCCUAUGCUGCCUAGAAAAGCAUCGGCGUGAGGUUCAAACUGCCCGUACCCUAAACCGACACAGGUGGUCAGGUAGAGAAUACUAAGGCGAUCGAGAGAAUCAUGGUUAAGGAACUCGGCAAAAUGCCCCCGUAACUUCGGGAGAAGGGGGGCCCCAACCUUGAGCACCACGUGCUGGUGUGAGGGGAUCGGGGCCGCAGAGACCAGGGGGAAGCGACUGUUUAUCAAAAACACAGGUCCAUGCGAAGUCGUAAGACGAUGUAUAUGGACUGACUCCUGCCCGGUGCUGGAAGGUUAAGGGGACCCGUUAGCUUCGGCGAAGCGGAGAACUUAAGCCCCAGUAAACGGCGGUGGUAACUAUAACCAUCCUAAGGUAGCGAAAUUCCUUGUCGGGUAAGUUCCGACCUGCACGAAUGGAGUAACGACUUCCCCGCUGUCUCAACCAUGAACUCGGCGAAAUUGCAUUACGAGUAAAGAUGCUCGUUACGCGCAGAAGGACGGAAAGACCCCGUGACCUUUACUAUAGUUUGGUAUUGGUAUUCGGUGUGACUUGUGUAGGAUAGGUGGGAGACUGUGAAGCGGGCACGCCAGUGUUCGUGGAGUCGCCGUUGAAAUACCACUCUGGUCACUCUGGAUAUCUAACUUCGGCCCGUGAUCCGGGUCAGGGACAGUGCCUGAUGGGUAGUUUAACUGGGGCGGUUGCCUCC
rnacentral:rRNA from 1 species